GGCACGAUGGCAGAGUGGUUAUCGCGUAAGACUAGAAUAUAGCAUCUCUCCUCAUUUAAGAGGAGAUGUCCAUCUGGGUCAUCUUAUUCCUUCGGGAGCGCAGGUUCAAGUCCUGCUCGUGUCG